rnacentral:lncRNA from 1 species
CCGAAGUACAGCUAAGAAGAGUGUUUGUGGAGGGGUUGUUUGUAAGUACCAAUAUUGCAACUUUUUGGCUUUGUCCUGAGUUAAAAUGCCAUGCUGUUGAAAUAGAGAUUAUUUUCGAGAAUGGAAAGCUCCAAGUAAACCUCACCUCCGUGAAGUGGUGAUGCUUCUUGAUGUUAUCAGUACAAACAAUGUGUUAGCACUAAAUAAAAGUAUAUUAUUGAUGUAUUGAACUCGUUGAACCAGUUUUUAAUCUAGUUCAACAUUAUUAAAUUUCAUUUCCAUAUUGUGGGAGUAGCCAUUUGGAUGCUUGAUCUUUCUCGUUCUUUUCUAGAGAUGAGAUAGAGACAACUCUAUGCAGUCACAGCUGGAUGCAGGAUGGAUGCUACUGCCUAUGCUUGGACAUCAAGCCAGCCAAAGAGCCAGAGAAGAGGCAGUUCUUGGGGAGAUUAUCCUGAAAGAGCUAAAGGCCCAGUACAGAAGAACAGCACGCAGCAUGUGUCCCAGCUAUACACCCUCAACUCGCGCUUGACUGAAGACAUUGACUGAGCCAGCAAUGUGCACCAUGGGCAGAACCAAGACGAUAGUGGAUCUGAGCAACCUGAAUUAGUACCUGGCCAACUGGUGAGAACUGGGGGCUGAUAGGUUCUAUUGGGAAAUGGUGAACCUCUUGUUCUUGGGGCAUUGAGGCUGAUGUAGUUUUGAGGAGGAGGAGCUGGAGCUAGAUUCUUAUGCCAAGCCUUGAACAUGACUAUUCUAAAGGCCCUGCUUUCAAGAGAAGGCUGGAKCAGAUGAGGCCCCUCCAGAAGCCCCUUCCAGCCUAGACUUUUCUAUAAUUCUGUGAUUUUCCUGUAGAAAUAGUGGCUUACUCUGGUUGUUCCAGAUAUGCAAAAUGAUGUAGUCUUACCAGGUGAUGACAGGGRAAUGGGUUGGACUGGACCCAGCUCAUAUAUGUCAUAAGAGUAAAGGAUACAGCCUUCAUGGUCUCAGACAAAGAAGAAUGCCAAGAUGUCGGACUCUGAAGAUCCUGCCACAGAUCAUCUUACCACAACAUGCAACUGAGCUGAGCUCUGUAGACACAAAGUUGUCUUUGCAUUGCUCUGCGCKGUCCACUCUUAAGCAUAUACGGCCUUGAGUUCAUUGCUGGCCACAGCGGACCCUGACUGGCCCCUGCAGGGCCUGGGCAGCAUACCAGCCAAUAUUCCAGCAAAAUGGCAAAGCAACGUGCCCCAUAUAAUAAUYCUCCCCCAAAGUGGAGUGCUAGGGAGACAACUCUGAUGCACGCUCUCUCUAUGCAACCUAAUUCACUCCUGUACAAGUGGCUCAAGGCACCCAGAAGGUUUUGAAGUAGGGAUACCAAUACAUAACAAAGUUCUUGACAUAUUUCUAUUAUUGUUUCCUGUUUUGAGUUUUUUGCUUUUGAAAGCAGCAAUUAAAAUCUGYAAACUUUUUAUUUGUUUUUUGUACUGACCUCUCUGUCUCCAGUUCUGGACUUUAAUGCUGGUGAAAAGAGAAAACAAUAGUUUUACUGA